rnacentral:rRNA from 1 species
GACGAACGCUGGCGGCGUGCUUAACACAUGCAAGUCGAACGGAAAGGCCCUGCUUUUGUGGGGUGCUCGAGUGGCGAACGGGUGAGUAACACGUGAGUAACCUGCCCUUGACUUUGGGAUAACUUCAGGAAACUGGGGCUAAUACCGGAUAGGAGCUCCUGCUGCAUGGUGGGGGUUGGAAAGUUUCGGCGGUUGGGGAUGGACUCGCGGCUUAUCAGCUUGUUGGUGGGGUAGUGGCUUACCAAGGCUUUGACGGGUAGCCGGCAUGAGAGGGUGACCGGCCACAUUGGGACUGAGAUACGGACCAGACUCCUACGGGAGGCAGCAGUGGGGAAUAUUGCACAAUGAGCGGAAGCCUGAUGCAGCAACGCCGCGUGCGGGAUGACGGCCUUCGGGUUGUAAACCGCUUUCGCCUGUGACGAAGCGUGAGUGACGGUAAUGGGUAAAGAAGCACCGGCUAACUACGUG